UACGUAGGUGGCGAGCGUUGUCCGGAUUUACUGGGCGUAAAGGGAGCGUAGGCGGACUUUUAAGUGAGAUGUGAAGUACUCGGGCUCAACUUGAGUGCUGCAUUUCAAACUGGAAGUCUAGAGUGCAGGAGAGGAGAAUGGAAUUCCUAGUGUAGCGGUGAAGUGCGUAGAGAUUAGGAAGAACACCAGUGGCGAAGGCGAUUCUCUGGACUGUAACUGACGCUGAGGCUCGAAAGCGUGGGGAGCAAACAGG
rnacentral:rRNA from 1 species